rnacentral:rRNA from 1 species
UACAGAGGGUGCAAGCGUUAUCCGGAAUGAUUGGGCGUAAAGCGUUUGUAGGUUGCUUGAGAAGUCUACUGUCAAAUCCCAGAGCUCAACUUUGGACAGGCAGUGGAGCACUCUUAGGCUAGAGUACGGUAGGGGUAGAGGGAAUUCCCGGUGGAGCGGUGAAAUGCGUAGAGAUCAGGAAGAACACCGGUGGCGAAAGCGCUCUGCUAGGCCGCAACUGACACUGAGGGACGAAAGCUAGGGGAGCGAACAGG